rnacentral:piRNA from 1 species
UGUUAAAGAGAAGCAGACUCCACAAA